GAUCUGACUUGAAUGGUCCUAGUCGGGUCGCCACUGUUGAGGGGCACAAAGACGAGUUGCUCUGCGGGUUCUUUAUGGCUUUUUUCUUCUCUUUGAUCUAGUCUAUCAUCGAUGAGGAGAGUUUCGGCUGGCCUUGUUCCUUCAAGAAUGGUUAAGUAGUAUUGUCAGACUAGCCAUUGAUCUCUUCGCAUCUCACCAAUUUCUUUUC
rnacentral:lncRNA from 1 species